GAUCACAGUGAUGACCACAUGAAAUUCAAGCUCAACAGACCGGAAUGCAUAGUUUUCUCUCUUAGGAGAUUCCUCUGCGUGUCGACAACCCCGCUGAACUGAGUGAUC